rnacentral:misc_RNA from 1 species
GAGCGCCCGCAAAUUCUGCUGUUCAAGCAGCUAAACCCUCGCGGCCCCAAAUCUCGGGACUCCGGGAUUUCUAGGGCUCCGAUCAUCCGCCAUGGAUCUGCCCAGCCUCGCCGUGAUCCUCCGCGCCGCGCUCAGCCACAACCCGGAGGAGCGGAAGGCCGCCGAGGAGAGCCUCAAUCAGUUCCAGUACAAGCCGCAGCAUCUGGUGAGGCUGCUGCAGAUCAUAGUGGAUGGGAGCUGUGAUUUGGCGGUGAGGCAGGUUGCGAG